GGUCAAGUGAAGAAGCGCAUACGGUGGAUGCCUUGGCAGUCAGAGGCGAUGAAAGACGUGGUAGCCUGCGAAAAGCUUCGGGGAGUCGGCAAACAGACUUUGAUCCGGAGAUGUCUGAAUGGGGGAACCCAGCCAUCAUAAGAUGGUUAUCUUGUACUGAAUACAUAGGUGCAAGAGGCGAACCAGGGGAACUGAAACAUCUAAGUACCCUGAGGAAAAGAAAUCAACCGAGAUUCCCUUAGUAGUGGCGAGCGAACGGGGACUAGCCCUUAAGUGGCUUUGAGAUUAGCGGAACGCUCUGGAAAGUGCGGCCAUAGUGGGUGAUAGCCCUGUACGCGAAAAUCUCUUAGUCAUGAAAUCGAGUAGGACGGAGCACGAGAAACUUUGUCUGAAUAUGGGGGGACCAUCCUCCAAGGCUAAAUACUACUGACUGACCGAUAGUGAACUAGUACCGUGAGGGAAAGGCGAAAAGAACCCCGGAGAGGGGAGUGAAAUAGAUCCUGAAACCGUAUGCGUACAAGCAGUGGGAGCAGACUUUGUUCUGUGACUGCGUACCUUUUGUAUAAUGGGUCAGCGACUUAUUUUCAGUGGCGAGCUUAACCGAAUAGGGGAGGCGUAGCGAAAGCGAGUCUUAAUAGGGCGUCUAGUCGCUGGGAAUAGACCCGAAACCGGGCGAUCUAUCCAUGGGCAGGUUGAAGGUUAGGUAACACUGACUGGAGGACCGAACCGACUACCGUUGAAAAGUUAGCGGAUGACCUGUGGAUCGGAGUGAAAGGCUAAUCAAGCUCGGAGAUAGCUGGUUCUCCUCGAAAGCUAUUUAGGUAGCGCCUCAUGUAUCACUGUAGGGGGUAGAGCACUGUUUCGGCUAGGGGGUCAUCCCGACUUACCAAACCGAUGCAAACUCCGAAUACCUACAAGUGCCGAGCAUGGGAGACACACGGCGGGUGCUAACGUCCGUCGUGAAAAGGGAAACAACCCAGACCGUCAGCUAAGGUCCCAAAGUUAUGGUUAAGUGGGAAACGAUGUGGGAAGGCUUAGACAGCUAGGAGGUUGGCUUAGAAGCAGCCACCCUUUAAAGAAAGCGUAAUAGCUCACUAGUCGAGUCGGCCUGCGCGGAAGAUGUAACGGGGCUCAAACCAUACACCGAAGCUACGGGUAUCACGUAAGUGAUGCGGUAGAGGAGCGUUCUGUAAGCCUGUGAAGGUGAGUUGAGAAGCUUGCUGGAGGUAUCAGAAGUGCGAAUGCUGACAUGAGUAACGACAAUGGGUGUGAAAAACACCCACGCCGAAAGACCAAGGUUUCCUGCGCAACGUUAAUCGACGCAGGGUUAGUCGGUCCCUAAGGCGAGGCUGAAAAGCGUAGUCGAUGGAAAACAGGUUAAUAUUCCUGUACUUCUGGUUAUUGCGAUGGAGGGACGGAGAAGGCUAGGCCAGCUUGGCGUUGGUUGUCCAAGUUUAAGGUGGUAGGCUGGAAUCUUAGGUAAAUCCGGGAUUCCAAGGCCGAGAGCUGAUGACGAGUUGCCUUUAGGCGACGAAGUGGUUGAUGCCAUGCUUCCAAGAAAAGCUUCUAAGCUUCAGAUAACCAGGAACCGUACCCCAAACCGACACAGGUGGUUGGGUAGAGAAUACCAAGGCGCUUGAGAGAACUCGGGUGAAGGAACUAGGCAAAAUGGCACCGUAACUUCGGGAGAAGGUGCGCCGGUGAGGGUGAAGCACUUGCUGCGUAAGCCCACGCCGGUCGAAGAUACCAGGCCGCUGCGACUGUUUAUUAAAAACACAGCACUCUGCAAACACGAAAGUGGACGUAUAGGGUGUGACGCCUGCCCGGUGCCGGAAGGUUAAUUGAUGGGGUUAGCUAACGCGAAGCUCUUGAUCGAAGCCCCGGUAAACGGCGGCCGUAACUAUAACGGUCCUAAGGUAGCGAAAUUCCUUGUCGGGUAAGUUCCGACCUGCACGAAUGGCGUAACGAUGGCGGCGCUGUCUCCACCCGAGACUCAGUGAAAUUGAAAUCGCUGUGAAGAUGCAGUGUAUCCGCGGCUAGACGGAAAGACCCCGUGAACCUUUACUAUAGCUUUGCACUGGACUUUGAAUUUGCUUGUGUAGGAUAGGUGGGAGGCUUUGAAGCGUGGACGCCAGUUCGCGUGGAGCCAUCCUUGAAAUACCACCCUGGCAACUUUGAGGUUCUAACUCAGGUCCGUUAUCCGGAUCGAGGACAGUGUAUGGUGGGUAGUUUGACUGGGGCGGUCUCCUCCUAAAGAGUAACGGAGGAGUACGAAGGUGCGCUCAGACCGGUCGGAAAUCGGUCGUAGAGUAUAAAGGCAAAAGCGCGCUUGACUGCGAGACAGACACGUCGAGCAGGUACGAAAGUAGGUCUUAGUGAUCCGGUGGUUCUGUAUGGAAGGGCCAUCGCUCAACGGAUAAAAGGUACUCCGGGGAUAACAGGCUGAUACCGCCCAAGAGUUCAUAUCGACGGCGGUGUUUGGCACCUCGAUGUCGGCUCAUCACAUCCUGGGGCUGAAGCCGGUCCCAAGGGUAUGGCUGUUCGCCAUUUAAAGUGGUACGCGAGCUGGGUUUAGAACGUCGUGAGACAGUUCGGUCCCUAUCUGCCGUGGACGUUUGAGAUUUGAGAGGGGCUGCUCCUAGUACGAGAGGACCGGAGUGGACGAACCUCUGGUGUUCCGGUUGUCACGCCAGUGGCAUUGCCGGGUAGCUAUGUUCGGGAAAGAUAACCGCUGAAAGCAUCUAAGCGGGAAACUUGCCUCAAGAUGAGAUCUCACUGGAACCUUGAGUUCCCUGAAGGGCCGUCGAAGACUACGACGUUGAUAGGUUGGGUGUGUAAGCGCUGUGAGGCGUUGAGCUAACCAAUACUAAUUGCCCGUGAGGCUUGACCAU
rnacentral:rRNA from 1 species